rnacentral:rRNA from 1 species
GACGAACGCUGGCGGCGUGCUUAACACAUGCAAGUGGAGCGACGAACCGGGGCUUGCCCCGGGGCAGAGCCGCGAACGGGUGAGUAACACGUGGGUAACCUGCCUCAAUGAUUGGGACAACCCGGGGAAACUCGGGCUAAUACCAAAUGUGUUCACUCCUUCCAAGGGGAGUGAGGAAAGGAAGCUUCGGCCUCCGCAUUGAGAUGGGCCCGCGGCCCAUUAGCUUGUUGGUGAGGUAACGGCUCACCAAGGCUUCGAUGGGUAGCUGGUCUGAGAGGACGAUCAGCCACACUGGGACUGAGACACGGCCCAGACUCCUACGGGAGGCAGCAGUGGGAAUCUUGCACAAUGCGCGAAAGCGUGAUGCAGCAACGCCGC